rnacentral:rRNA from 1 species
GUCGAGAAUCUUUCACAAUGGGGGCAACCCUGAUGGAGCGACGCCGCGUGGAGGAUAAGGUCUUCGGAUUGUAAACUCCUGUCAUGCGUGAACAAGGUUGCUUGGAUAAUACCUGAGCAAAUUGAUGGUAGCGCAAGAGGAAGAGACGGCUAACUCUGUGCCAGCAGCCGCGGUAAUACAGAGGUCUCAAGCGUUGUUCGGAAUCACUGGGCGUAAAGGGUGCGUAGGUGGCGUGGCAAGUCAGAUGUGAAAGCCCGGUGCUCAACCUCGGAACUGCAUCCGAUGCUGCCAUGCUAGAGUACUGGAGGGGUGACUAGAAUUCUCGGUGUAGCAGUGAAAUGCGUAGAUAUCGAGAGGAAUACCAAAGGCGUAGGCAGGUCACUGGACAGUUACUGACACUGAGGCACGAAGGCCAGGGGAGCGAACGGGAUUAGAUACCCUGGUAGUCC